AGGAGAGAGAGGGAUUCGAACCCUCGAUAGUGAAACUAUACCGGUUUUCAAGACCGGAGCCAUCAACCACUCGGCCAUCUCUCC
rnacentral:tRNA from 1 species